rnacentral:rRNA from 1 species
CCUACGGGAGGCAGCAGUGAGGAAUAUUGGUCAAUGGGCGCGAGCCUGAACCAGCCAAGUAGCGUGAAGGAUGACUGCCCUACGGGUUGUAAACUUCUUUUGACAGGGAAUAGUAGAAGACGGUACCUGUCGAAUAAGCCACGGCUAACUACGUGCCAGCAGUCGCGGUAAGCCGGCGGUGGCGAGCGUUGUCCGGAUUUACUGGGUGUAAGGGGCGUGUAGGGGGGUUGGGAAGUCAGAGGUGAAAUCCUGGGGCUUAAGCGCAAAAGUGAAUUUGAUACUGGCAGUCGUGAGGACAGUAGAGGUAGGCGGAAUUGGUGGUGUAGCGGUGAAAUGCGUAGAUAUCACGAAGAACGCCGAGUGCGAAGGCAG